CAGUCGCCGCGGUAAUACGUAGGUGGCAAGCGUUGUCCGGAAUUAUUGGGCGUAAAGGGCUCGCAGGCGGUUUCUUAAGUCUGAUGUGAAAGCCCCCGGCUCAACCGGGGAGGGUCAUUGGAAACUGGGAAACUUGAGUGCAGAAGAGGAGAGUGGAAUUCCACGUGUAGCGGUGAAAUGCGUAGAGAUGUGGAGGAACACCAGUGGCGAAGGCGACUCUCUGGUCUGUAACUGACGCUGAGGAGCGAAAGCGUGGGGAGCGAACAGGAUUAGAGACCCGUGUAGUCCCUGUCUCUUAUAC
rnacentral:rRNA from 1 species